rnacentral:antisense_RNA from 1 species
GUUGGGCUUCAAACCCCUGUUACCUCAGUUCAAAAACUUGCCGGCUUAUUGAACCUUCAAAAAACCACCUUGCCGGGUGGUUUUUUCGU